UACAGCUGAAAGAAAAUCUUGAGUCGGAAUUUCAAGCUCAAGAAUGAUCUUUAAUGCAUGAUUGUAGAAGUUUGUUUUUAUUUAGUCCCAGCAUCUUUUUAAAAUACUACAUUAGACAUGUCAUAGCAGGAAAAGCACAGGUGUAUUUAAUAACAUUAACGAUGGCUGCAUUCCACUUAGGGGAAGUCCCGGUAUUGUGCGUGCUGGAUUACUGGAAUAGCUUGAUGGAACUGAGCCAUCGUUAAUGUUAUUAGUUCCACCUGUGCUUCUCUACAUGUGGUCAGGACAGAAAAAGAAAGACAUGACAGAAGCCCAUCAGGAUGACAGAAAUAUCCCUCAACAUGAACUCACGGUCACUUGACGCUUACUUUACUUUUAAUUUCCUUUACAUUAGUCAUAUCUGAAUGUAUUUGGUGUGUAAUUGGAUUUUAGUGUAGCCGACUUUAUGAUACAGCUAUGCACAUGGGUAAGCUGUUAUUUAAAUCAAAGCUUACUUUAUAUUUUCCAUUUAGGAUCUGCUGUCUCAAGUGUCCAUGAAUACAUUACACCAUCACUGUAUAUGAAUCAUGAGGCAAAUUAGAGCUAUUACAGUACUGUGAAUAACUACAUAAAUGAAACUGCCGUGUUAGGUUCUGAUAAGGUGAGCUUCGACUCAAGCCACCAAAUCCCAUACAGCUCCACGCAGAGACUGUACGACAUAUGGCUUGGCGUCACCACACUGAGCCCCGGGCCCAGUCUCUUGAGCAGUGGUCAGUGUGUGGCUAAUAUGUAACAAGACAUGACACUUCAAAAGUCCAACAUGUGCCACAAGCGAUAACAAACCGCCGCUACGCUCACUCUGCAAGCUUGUGGACUCAGCAGCUCGGGAUGACAGCAUCUUUAUCUCGCCUCAAUGCAGAGCCAGCGUUGUAGUUUGAUAUCAUUUUGAUCUUGCAGAAUAAAAUGUUUCUUCAUCUGUGUCCUCUCUCCGAGCUACUUGUCCUUCACUGUCCUCAGCUUCUCUGCAGGUGGCAUAUUUGCAUCUGCUUUUUUGCAGAGACAUCCCCAUGGCGUCUGUGUCAUGCCUGGAGACCUCCUGUAAUCUCCUCGGUAUGCUGUGUGAAAUGGGCCAUGACCUCUUCCACUCUUUCUUUCUAUCUAUCUCACUCCGUCCCUCACUGUGCUCUCUCUCUCUCUCUGUCUCUGUGAUGCAGGAGGAUAAUUCAUACUCACCAACUAAGAGCUGACUGCAGAGAAUUACAGGCCAGAACUCAUUUACAGCAAGAAUACAUUACAGCUUUUAGAUUUUGGUAUCUGGCUGCAGGGAAGAGCCUUGGUGAGGUCGGGCGCUGAUGCUGGGUGAUGAGGCCUGGCUCACAGUCGGUGUUCCAGUUCAUCCCAAAGAUGCUGGAUGGAGUUGAGUGGCCAAAGAAAUGAGUUCCUCCACGUAGGAAGAAACCGGGAGAAAAUAAACCUCCAGGACGCCAAACCAAACUUGAAGCCUCCCUGUUUAUUUCAAAGCUCACAAGUAGGGAUUACAAAAUUACAGUGCUUCAAUUGCAACAGUUCAAGGAGUAGUAGGAGAAGAGUAGGAGAGAUGACAGACCAGUUGAGGAAUUUUGAGCAAGUCAUGCAAAAAGGUGUGGGAGAAGGCCUCCGUUAUAAUAGCACCCUUUGUGGAAAAAAAUAAAUCCAUCUGUCAGUCUGUCAGUGCAAAAAUAGUAAUGAAUAUAUGCAUACAAAGAAAAUAGAUAUAUAUUUAUAUACUGUAUAUAUUUGACCGUUGACUACAGGACACAAAGAAAGAUACAGAGACUUGUAGAGCGAAGCCCGUUUCCACCAGAGCCUCUGAGCCCAAAGCAGAGACUCUUAAACAAGUCUAGUCGUAAAGAGUGCCCAUCCAAUAUGACAGCUUGAUAUUGUUCUAAUACAGAACCGUGUUUCCAAAUAACAGGGAACAGAUACCCAGAUGCCUCUUGGAGCUGUCAAUCAGGCUAUGACCUCUACAGAAAGAGCAGUGUGGGAAAAGACAGACAGCACCAUAAUGACUGCGAGUGUCCCUCACAGACCAGGAGCACACAGCAUGCUUCAUUUUUCCAACCAGAGAGUAAUGUACAGUACGACGGUUACAUUGUUCAGUCAAAUAGAUCAUUACAUACAAAAGCCAUGUGCCGCUGCGGUUGUAGGAACCAGCAGAUGGGACGAAAAGGUACAUUAUUCUUAUAUAACAUUGGCUCAGAUGUUAAGCACUCUCUUUUUUUUUUUUGCAAAUCACUGAAUAUAAAUGCACAAGCUACAAACGUGUGGUAAAUUGUUAUUAUAUACCUUUUUAUCAUAUUCAAAUAUAUUGUGGAGCACCAGUAGACACCAAUGACAACAGCAACAAAAAUACAAGUGAGGACACGUCGCCACACAAACAUUUUUUUUUUUAAAAACUUCUUUGUCCAUAAUUCACACUUAAAAAACUCACUUAAAUCUGAGGCUGCAAACUGUUAUUCAUGCUCGAACUUUUCGCAAAGACCUCACAAAACAUUUUCAUGACAGUUGGGUAAAGACACAACCUGUUACAAUUUAAUUUGCAUAGCAUGAAUUUUCACAUGAGGGAUUUUUUAAGCUUAUUGUUGUGAAUCUUGGUGUUGUAAAGCCUUACUGAGUGCACUGUGUAUUUGUGUUCACUAUGCUAUGAAAAUUCCUUGCAUUCUCCUUCAUCUCGCUGACAGAGACA